AACGGGGGGGGCUAGCGUUAUUCGGAAUUACUGGGCGUAAAGCGCGUGUAGGCGGCUAAGUAAGUCGGGCGUGAAAUCCCACGGCUCAACCGUGGAAGUGCACUCGAAACUGCGUAGCUAGAGUCCUGGAGAGGAAGGUGGAAUGCUUGGUGUAGAGGUGAAAUUCGUAGAUAUCAAGCGGAACACCGGUGGCGAAGGCGGCCUUCUGGACAGUGACUGACGCUGAGACGCGAAAGCGUGGGGAGCAAACAGG
rnacentral:rRNA from 1 species